GACAGAGGGUGCAAACGUUGUUCGGAAUUACUGGGCGUAAAGCGCGCGUAGGCGGCUAAGUAAGUCGGGCGUGAAAUCCCACGGCUCAACCGUGGAAGUGCACUCGAAACUGCGUAGCUAGAGUCCUGGAGAGGAAGGUGGAAUGCUUGGUGUAGAGGUGAAAUUCGUAGAUAUCAAGCGGAACACCGGUGGCGAAGGCGGCCUUCUGGACAGUGACUGACGCUGAGACGCGAAAGCGUGGGGAGCAAACAGG
rnacentral:rRNA from 1 species